UACGGAGGGUGCAAGCGUUAAUCGGAAUUAUUGGGCGUAAAGAGCUCGUAGGCGGUCUGUCGCGUCGGCUGUGAAAACUUGGGGCUCAACCCCAAGCCUGCAGUCGAUACGGGCAGACUAGAGUGCGGUAGGGGAGACUGGAAUUCCUGGUGUAGCGGUGAAAUGCGCAGAUAUCAGGAGGAACACCGGUGGCGAAGGCGGGUCUCUGGGCAGUAACUGACGC
rnacentral:rRNA from 1 species